CUUGUGAGAACCUGAGCCCAGCUGAGUGACAGGCGCAGAAAUUGCUGGCUACGAGCUGUGUUUAUAUUUAAAAUGAAAAAUUUAAAACUGACAAUUGAGAUCAUGGCAGUAUAUUAUAAUUCAUUUAUUUAUUAGAUAAUAAAUUCAUUUAUUGACAUGAUAGAAUACUGCCAUGAUCUCAGUUGUCAUUUUCACAUUUUUUUUAUUUCAAAUGUAACUCUUCCUUGAACAAGAGGACUGGGUUUGUAGUAGGAAAGGUCACAGCCUAACUAAAAAUAAACUUUUAAAAGAAUACGAAAAUCGGAAAAAAUCUAAUUAGAAAUGAUGGCAGUAGUAAACAUUUUAACAGUGUAAUGGAUAGACACGGGUAGUAAUGUUGAGGGAGAAAAGCUUUGCUCGAAACAUGCAACUCACACCUCGCUUCCUCCACUACUAUCUGCGUGUAUGCCUCAUAAUGCUAACACUUCUGGCAUGACUCAUAAUACCAGCAUCUCUACUAAAUCGGUGGCGGUAAUCCUAAAGAAGGCGUAGAAAUGUCAUAUUGAUUAUCCAUUAACUGUGAAGGAAAUGAAACCUGAGUAGAGGAAAUACUUCAUGCAAACGAUCCCUGCUACCAUCUCGCCGGACAUCUGAACUGAGACAAACUUCUUUAGCCUGAACCACUCCUCUCCCCACCAUUCAUUCCCUCCAUCGCUGCACCAUUACUCUCUCCCCUACCUCUUUCCCUCCAUCAUACCUCCCAUAUUUUACCCUUUACCAUUCUUUAUCUGCAUAGCCACAACCAUCAUCCUAUCCCGUCAUCACCCCUCCUCCACCCACACCACUAUUCAUUCCCUGUCACGUCACUUUCAUUCAAUUUAAUUCAAGUUUCAUUCAAGAAGUAAGACAAUGCAAGUAUUAGUAUAAGUUUCUUUCAAGUAGUAAGAUAAUGCAAGUAUUAGUAAAAAAUUACAUCAUCCUGAACCAAACAAGCCAAAUACUUCGAAAGAUUCACCAACCUCUUAACUUCACACCUGUUGAAACGUGUUUUAUUCCAUUCCUGAUACGAUAAUGCAACGGUCCCAUCUCCUCAGCGGCCAACUGAGAAAGCAUAAGCCAGGAAUAUAGGCUACGUCUCGUCCUCCUCGGCGAUCCUCCUCUUCCGCCGCCUGCCACUGACGAAGUGUUUAUGCGGGGCAAGGAAAACCCGAGAAUGGCCCACAAAACACCCAAAAACACGUUUAAGAGGAAGAGGAAUGUAUACGAAAAGGGAAAAUACAGGAAAAAGAAAAAAAAUGAGCGUUGACAGUUUUCAUUUCUGAACUCAUGACGUGUGUGGCGGGUAACAAGCAAAUUAUAACAGUUAAGCUAGGCGGGCAUUCUUUAGUAUGUAUUUUCAAGGUUAGCGAGUAAGUUUAGGCAAAUGUAACUGCAAAAUCUAAUCUAUUAUCGUUUCUUUAUUGAAAGCCUGUUAUUUUUUAAGCAUUUCCUAUCUUAUCUCGACUGUAGUGGUAGCAAGUGGAAGUUUUCAAGGGUGUUUUCAUGAUUUUCGUGGUAGUUUAGCAAAGAUUAAUUUAUUUAUAAAAAAAAAAAAAACAUUCUUGAGUUUCAUUGCUUAUUGUUCCCCUGUGCUUGCAUAUAUUAGCUGGCCGCUGCGUUGCCGCCUGUCAGGCUGCCAGGCUCGUCCAGCGUGGCAUACUGCAGUAGCAAUGCACAACUCACGAGUGUCGCCUUUACCCAGACUUAUUCGGAGAACUCAAGCAUGACAGCUCUCGUGUAUCUGUCAAUCCAUCCCAGGUGCUGGAGGUGGUUGAGACGCCUUAACAGCUCCGAACUUGUGCCCUUCAGAUGCAGUACAUAUCCUCCUCCUGUGUAACUCCCAAGCCGUCCAGAUGAGCAAGAUGCCUCUACUACAGCACCAAACAGCACCUUUACAGAGACAGGAUAUUCACCAUGAGAGGCUCCACUACCAGGAUCGAGAACAAGAAUGUUACAAUAAGAGAAGUAAGCCAGCGACUGGUCUUCUCAGCACCAAAUUGCAAAGCAUAUGCCCACACAAAGAAGACCGAGACACCAAU